GACGAACGCUGGCGGCGUGCUUAACACAUGCAAGUCGAACGGAAAGGCCCUGCUUUUGUGGGGUGCUCGAUUGGCGAACGGGUGAGUAACACGUGAGUAACCUGCCCUUGACUUUGGGAUAACUUCAGGAAACUGGGGCUAAUACCGGAUAUGAUCUCCUGCUGCAUGGUGUGGGUUGGAAAGUUUCGGCGGUUGGGGAUGGACUCGCGGCUUAUCAGCUUGUUGGUGGGGUAGUGGCUUACCAAGGCUUUGACGGGUAGCCGGCCUGGGAGGGUGACCGGCCACAUUGGGACUGAGAUACGGACCAGAAUCCUACGGGAGGCAGCAGUGGGGAAUAUUGCACAAUGGGGGGAAGCCUGAUACAGCAACGCCGCGUGCGGGAUGACGGCCUUCGGGUUGUAAACCGCUUUCGCAUGUGACGAAGAGUGAGUGACGGUAAUGGGUAAAGAAGCACCGGCUAACUACGUG
rnacentral:rRNA from 1 species